GACCAGCCUGGCCAACAUGGUGAAACCCCGCC
rnacentral:piRNA from 1 species